AUCCAACUGACGAGCCCCAAAUAGGACGAAACGCGCAUCUGACAU
rnacentral:hammerhead_ribozyme from 1 species